CUUGCUCUUGUGGAUCAGUGGCGAACGGGUGAGUAACACGUGAGCAACCUGCCCCUGACUCUGGGAUAAGCGCUGGAAACGGCGUCUAAUACUGGAUAUGUGACGUGACCGCAUGGUCUGCGUUUGGAAAGAUUUUUCGGUUGGGGAUGGGCUCGCGGCCUAUCAGCUUGUUGGUGAGGUAAUGGCUCACCAAGGCGUCGACGGGUAGCCGGCCUGAGAGGGUGACCGGCCACACUGGGACUGAGACACGGCCCAGACUCCUACGGGAGGCAGCAGUGGGGAAUAUUGCACAAUGGGCGAAAGCCUGAUGCAGCAACGCCGCGUGAGGGAUGACGGCCUUCGGGUUGUAAACCUCUUUUAGCAGGGAAGAAGCGAAAGUGACGGUACCUGCAGAAAAAGCGCCGGCUAACUACGUGCCAGCAGCCGCGGUAAUACGUAGGGCGCAAGCGUUAUCCGGAAUUAUUGGGCGUAAAG
rnacentral:rRNA from 1 species